GGGGGUGUUCCGGUUUCGACCGGUACGGUUCGGGAUACAAGCCGCAGGUGGAGCGCCUAUCUCCUGAUUAGGCAAAAAUUUAACUGCCAACAACGACAGUUACGCUUACGCCUUAGCUGCGUAAUCGCGUGGAACCGUUCCGCCGCUCUGAGGAAUGGCUUCCGCGUCGCAAUCAGGGCUGGCCCAUCGUCGCGUACGGACUUCGAGCGGUAAGAUUUUUCCGUAAUACGGACAGGCCGCGCGCCGCACAGCCAAGCCUGUCCCGACAAUCCAAUGUACGGCUAAACCUGUAGACGUUUGUGUUUCGCGUAUCGGGACGCGGGUCCGACUCCCGCCACCUCCAAAA
rnacentral:tmRNA from 1 species